rnacentral:rRNA from 1 species
UAGCCUUGACAUAUUUUAGAAUCUUUCAGAGAUGAGAGAGUGCCUUCGGGAGCUAAUAUACAGGUGCUGCACGGCUGUCGUCAGCUCGUGUCGUGAGAUGUUGGGUUAAGUCCCGCAACGAGCACAACCCUCGUCACUAGUUACUAACGGUUCGGCCGAGGACUCUAGUGAGACUGCCUUCGUAAGGAGGAGGAAGGUGAGGACGACGUCAAGUCAUCAUGGCCCUUACGGCUAGGGCAACACACGUGCUACAAUGGCCAGGACAGUGAGACGCGAUACCGCGAGGUGGAGCAAAUCUAUAAACCUGGUCUCAGUUCGGAUUGUAGUCUGCAACUCGACUACAUGAAGCUGGAAUCACUAGUAAUCGUAGAUCAGCUAUGCUACGGUGAAUACGUUCCCGGGUCU